AAUAUUGGUCAAGGGGGGCAGCCCUGAUCCAGCCAGGCCGCGUGUGUGAAGAAGGUCUUCGGUAUGUAAAGCACUUUAAGUUGGGAGGAAGGGCUUUAGGUUAAUACGCGGAAGUAUUGACUAUACCGACAGAAUAAGCACCGGCUAACACUCUGACAUCAGCUCAGGUAAUACAGAGGGUGCAAGCGUUAAUCGGAAUUACUGGGCGUAAAGCGCGCGUAGGUGGUUCAGUAAGAUGGGUGUGAAAUCCCCGGGCUUAACCUGGGAACUGCUUUCAUAACUGCUGAGCUAGAGUACGGUAGAGGGUAGUGGAAUUUCCUGUGUAGCGGUGAAAUGCGUAGAUAUAGGAAGGAACACCAGUGGCGAAGGCGACUACCUGGACUGAUACUGACACUGAGGUGCGAAAGCGUGGGGAGCAAACA
rnacentral:rRNA from 1 species